GCAGGGGUAGCCAAGCCUGGUCAAAGGCGUGAGGUUCAGAGCCUCAUGGCUUAGUGCCUUCGUGGGUUCAAAUCCCACCCCCUGCA
rnacentral:tRNA from 1 species